rnacentral:rRNA from 1 species
UACGAAGGGGGCUAGCGUUGCUCGGAAUCACUGGGCGUAAAGCGCACGUAGGCGGGUCUUUAAGUCAGGGGUGAAAUCCUGGAGCUCAACUCCAGAACUGCCUUUGAUACUGAGGAUCUCGAGUCCGGGAGAGGUGAGUGGAACUCCGAGUGUAGAGGUGAAAUUCGUAGAUAUUCGGAAGAACACCAGUGGCGAAGGCGGCUCACUGGCCCGGUACUGACGCUGGAGGUGACGAAAGCGGUGGGGAGCAAACAGG